rnacentral:rRNA from 1 species
UUAAACGUCCAUACCACGUUGAAUACACCGGUUCUCGUCCGAUCCCCGAAGUUAAGCAACGUCGGGCGCGGUACUUUGAUGGGUGACCGCCUGGGAACACCGCGUGAUGUUUGUU